GACACAAACAAACAAAAUCGAAGUUGAUUAGAUCAAAUCUGGAGCCUAAUGUAAAGGCAUCCUUGAAUAGAUAUGGGAGAGUAUCAUGUCAGUCGAACAGAUACUUCAGUUUCUAGAUUUGGGAUGGGGAUUUGAUCUCCCAUAUGGAUGCUAUAUAGGGAUCUAACUUUGAGAAGUGGCUUGGAGCCAUUAAAUCUAAAAUAAAAUCCAUAA
rnacentral:lncRNA from 1 species